CGGCGGGAAUCGACUCUUCUUGAGGAAAAUGCUGACUGAAUCUGCAGGAGGUUGGAUCUGUGCUCUUCACUUUUCGACGACAGUCAUCACUGGUCUCAAAACCAAUUGUUUUGUUUGAGAAGACCUCACUACAUCACCAAGCACGAGUGGACCAGCAAGGGUGUUCGUGACCAAGGGAUCAUGGGUCUUUAGUGUUCUACUAAAGAAAGAGGAGUCUGGUGAACCAGAUCUUGGAGAUGUUCCGGGGAUAGUUUGCUAGAUCUAGAUCCAAACUACAACAUAGCUGACAUCAGGGAUUCCCAUCUUUUGAAUGAGUGACACUUGUUUGCACAAUUACUGUCUGCUCUAUUUUUUUGGCAUUAUAUAUGCACCCAGCCUUAUCACUAACAGCAGUUAUUAAAUGUAAACCUGUAAAAAAAAAUAAUUUUGUAAAAUGUUUGCAUUUUGUCAUUUUACUGUUGCUGCGGUCUUGUUCUUUUCAGUUUGAAGCCAGAUAUCCUUGUACACAUUGCCUUUACAUGUUUUCCUUGAUAUAACACAUUUACUUGACUCUUGUUAGUGAUGAGGCUGGGCAAUUUAGGGCAAAAAAGGCUUUUGUUUUAAAAGGUUAAACAGACUUAUUUCAUUUCUCGAGAUGUACCAAAGUACAUCUGCAUUUGAUGUUUUGUUAAUGAAAUGCUUUUACAUUUUGAGGUUGUUUUGUGGUGUUGUGGAAAAUGUUUCAACUCUACAGUGUGUAGAAAUUAAUUUUCCACAAUUAACAACAUAUUGUAUUUUAAAUAUUCAUUUUCACUAUGUUAAAUGGAAGCGGUUAAGAAAAUUCUGUUCAA